AUACGGAGGGGGUUAGCGUUGUUCGGAAUUACUGGGCGUACAGCGCACGUAGGCGGAUUGGAAAGUUGGGGGUGAAAUCCCAGGGCUCAACCCUGGAACUGCCUCCAAAACUAACAGUCUAGAGUUCGAGAGAGGUGAGUGGAAUUCCAAGUGUAGAGGUGAAAUUCGUAGAUAUUUGGAAGAACACCAGUGGCGAAGGCGGCUCACUGGCUCGAUACUGACGCUGGGGUGCGAAAGCGUGGGGAGCAAACAGGAUUAGAAACCCCAGUAGUCC
rnacentral:rRNA from 1 species